rnacentral:rRNA from 1 species
GACGAACGCUGGCGGCGUGCUUAACACAUGCAAGUCGAACGGCGAUAAUGGAGGAUUUAUCUGAAGUUGUUGCAGUGGCGGACGGGUGAGUAACACGUGGGUAACCUGCCCUAUGGAGGGGGAUAACACAGAGAAAUUUGUGCUAAUACCGCAUAAUAUAACUGAAUCGCAUGGUUUAGUUAUCAAAGAUUUAUUACCAUAGGAUGGACCCGCGGCCCAUUAGCUAGUUGGUGAGGUAACGGCUCACCAAGGCGACGAUGGGUAGCCGGACUGAGAGGUCGAACGGCCACAUUGGAACUGAGACACGGUCCAGACUCCUACGGGAGGCAG